AAAACAACAAAAACAAACAAAAAACUCUCAUUCCCAGAUUUUUUUUUGUGCUGGAUGUUUUUUUCUCGUUCAUUCCCGGUUUUUUUUUUAUUUUUUUUGUAGAUGCUCU
rnacentral:ribozyme from 16 species